CAUGUAGUAUGGUUUGCAAGAAGCCGGUUGCAUUAAAGUUUUAGUGAAAGAACUAAUCCAAUAUAAACAAAAUGAAUAUUAUUUAUAUGAAUUUGUAAUUAAGUGCUUUAAUAUGCUCAAAUUAAAGUAUCGAAAUUACGCAAAAGUAUUUACAAAAUUGUAAAGAGACUGAGCACUUAAUGAGACGCCAAACAGAUGUGGACUCGCCAAUUAAUGCUGCCUCAACAGUUGCUGUUAUGGUUACAUUUGUGCCGCUGCAGACAUCGUGAUCCUUCAGCAGUCACUAUUCAACUUUAAUCGUUUUGGGCAGCACCUGCAAGUGGGCAGAACCUGCUGGCAUUGUUCCUGUUUUAUAUAGUGAGCUGCACUUUGUUGUAGAGUUGUGGUUCCGUAACUUAAAAUAGUGCCACUCCUGGAACUACUCAACUUUUAUUAUAUUACUUGCUCUUCUGUCUAAUUGGAUGCUACAUAUAUUCAAUAAUAUACUUGAAUGCCUGUUACAUGAAAUCAUGACUUGGCCACUCAAAAAAUUUUGCCUGUAUCCCAAGGAUAGCAAUAUUUUGCAUAUUUUAAAUUAUAAAUGCCGAAAACAUGGGUUAGAAAAUGGUUAGAUAAAAGAAGUGUGAAACGGGUUAAAUGUGGAUUAAGGAUGGGUGUGAUUUUAACUGAGAUUAACUUGGAACUAAGUGGCAAAAUGUGGUCACUUCUCAACUGCAAGUCGUCACUAUUAAAUGAAUUAUAACAGUCAUUAACUUAUUACAAUAGUUGACCAUUUAUUUCACGAUGUUAAUUAUGAAACAAGCAUAUCCGCUUCAUCAGAUGUUAGUUUCAGUGGCAUAUGAUCAUCGGUGUUUGCUAAGUGGAAUGAGAAUAUGAGUCUAUCCACGUUUUAUAUAUAUUCCGUUAUACAAAAAUACUUGGUUUCCAAUUUUGGCAAAAUUAAGACACUUUUUAAAGUGGUACAUCAUCAUUGCUUUUGCUGAAUGGCUCUUGGAUAUUCUCUAGUGUACUUUCGAUAUAAAGCUACAAGCGUUGUAUAUUCAGUUUUAUGUUGUGUGGCAACUUAUGUAUACUGACAUCAAAACCAACUGAACUGAGUGAUCUUCCGACUCUAUGAAAUUACAAUAAAAAUUCAAUAAUUCCUAUAUAAAAUGUGAUACAUCUAAUGGUACUGGUGUUCCUUUAAAAAUGGACAAAGAUUUGGUAGAAGAAACAUCAAUAACAAAAUAAACGCAUAAAUUAUGUUACAAAUACUUAUAUAUGAUGAUAACAAUAACACAAAACGAUCAACAUUUUUUUAUGAAAUUGCCAAUUACCAGUGAAUAUUGCUUGAAUAAUUACUACAAUAAGGAUGGGAUAUGCACUCCCAGCUACUGCUUAUGAUAACAUAAUAUAAUAGACGAUGCUGUAACGAUAUCAUAUGCACACGUAUUUCUCCUAAAUAUCAAAGUACUUGGUUUUAACCAAAUGAAGUAAAAUUUUUUACUUUGAUAGUAAGAACUUACAACCGACCAUAUUUGAUGUGGAGAGUGCAUUAGUUAUUGUAUCCUGUUUCAUAUAUUGCUGUUGACAAUAUUAUUGCCAAGUACGAGUAUUCGGGUAUUACAAAACUAACAGCAGUCUUUUACGUGAAUAUAAUUAAAUUGUACUCCAUCUAUGAAACUGCAUAUAAACUUUAGAAACUAAAAUUGACGCCAAAAGGUAUUUUAGUAUAAGAUAAUUGUUAAUAUUGUGUGGGAGUAAUUUAAUUAGAUAUCUUGUAUGUAUUUAUUUGAAUCAAAAUGUACAAUAGUUUUAUAUCCUAACUACACAAAGUGAUACAUUCAUUGCCUAAUGCAGUGAUUUAAAACAUAUUUCUAAUGAAAAAUUAUUUGAAUACAAUAAUGAUUUUCUUAAAUGCAGUGAUCUAUAAAUACGUUAGCCAAAAUUAUGCAAGUAAUACCGCUAACCAAAACAAUAUUCAUUUAUAAUUGAAAAUAUAAGUUCCAAAUAAAUAUAUUUAUAUAUAAAUUAUUACUCGUUCCCAGUUCAAGAGAAGGCGCGAAAUGUUUAUUACUUAUUAUAUUAUUAGAAUAUAACUAUGAUUGGUGAAAUUGUUCCAACCAUUCACAAGUACUACUUAAUAUAACUUAACUACUAAACCCUAAACUAAAUAUUCGGGAUACGACAACCUCGAAAUGUUAGGGUUCCAUAAUUUAUAUAUGAAAUAUAGUGAAAGUUUAAAAAUUAGAGA